rnacentral:pre_miRNA from 1 species
AGUGGGAUGAGGAAGAAAAAGAGCACCUAAUAGCAUUGGGCACGGGAACAUAGAGGGAACGCUUCAAGUAUUAUUUUUCUAAAAAGUUAGGGGUCAGAAUAUGUGUGUUUUUCCAAUGCCCCCCAUGCCUAUUGUUCUUAGAUCCCUUCCUCUUUCUUUUGGCA